AACGAACGCUGGCGGCAUGCCUAACACAUGCAAGUCGAACGAAGGCUUCGGCCUUAGUGGCGCACGGGUGCGUAACGCGUGGGAAUCUGCCCCUCGGUUCGGAAUAACACAGAGAAAUUUGUGCUAAUACCGGAUGAUGACGAAAGUCCAAAGAUUUAUCGCCGAGGGAUCAGCCCGCGUAGGAUUAGCUAGUUGGUGAGGUAAAGGCUCACCAAGGCGACGAUCCUUAGCUGGUCUGAGAGGAUGAUCAGCCACACUGGGACGGAGACACGGCCCAGACUCCUACGGGAGUCAGCAGUGGGGAAUAUUGGACAAUGGGCGAAAGCCUGAUCCAGCAAUGCCGCGUGAGUGAUGAAGGCCUUAGGGUUGUAAAGCUCUUUUACCAGGGAUGAUAAUGACAGUACCUGGAGAAUAAGCUCCGGCUAACUCCGUUCCAGCCGCCGCCGUAA
rnacentral:rRNA from 1 species